rnacentral:rRNA from 1 species
UGGGGAAUAUUGCACAAUGGGCGAAAGCCUGAUGCAGCAACGCCGCGUGAGCGAUGAAGGCCUUCGGGUCGUAAAGCUCUGUCCUCAAGGAAGAAUAUUGACGGUACUUGAGGAGGAAGCCCCGGCUAACUACGUGCCAGCAGCCGCGGUAAUACGUAGGGGGCUAGCGUUAUCCGGAAUUACUGGGCGUAAAGGGUGCGUAGGUGGUUUUAUAAGUCAGAGGUGAAAGGCUACGGCUCAACCGUAGUAAGCCUUUGAAACUAUAAAACUUGAGUGCAGGAGAGGAAAGUAGAAUUCCCAGUGUAGCGGUGAAAUGCGUAGAUAUUGGGAGGAAUACCAGUUGCGAAGGCGGCUUUCUGGACUGUAACUGACACUGAGGCACGAAAGCGUGGGGAGCAAA